rnacentral:rRNA from 1 species
UACGGAGGGUGCAAGCGUUAUCCGGAUUCACUGGGUUUAAAGGGUGCGUAGGUGGGUUUGUAAGUCAGUGGUGAAAUCUCCAAGCUUAACUUGGAAACUGCCGUCGAUACUAUAAAUCUUGAAUGUUGUGGAGGUGAGCGGAAUAUGUCAUGUAGCGGUGAAAUGCUUAGAUAUGACAUAGAACACCAAUUGCGAAGGCAGCUCACUACACAAAGAUUGACACUGAGGCACGAAAGCGUGGGGAUCAAACAGG